GUUACGUUGAGUCAUGCAGUUGCACUGAUACUGUUUGUUUACGUUUUUUUAAGUUGGUUGAAAGUGGCGUAUAAGCAUUUUAUAACAAUUAUGUGGUUGUAGGGGUGGUGAAUUUUAUGGCACGAUCUGCAGUGAAUGUUCUAUGGCAGCCAUAACAACAAUAAUAUAAACCAAGCAGGGAGGGGUUCCCAUUGUUUAUCUAGAUGAUUGUAAUACCCACCUUCAAGAAAGUUCAUAUGGUAUAUGCCUCUCCUCAGCAUACUACGGUCCUGCACCAACCUCACCCAAUAUGAUACAGGCCCUCCUUCACAAUGUCGUCCCACCAACGGGCGGGUAGUCUGCCCCAAAAAAGAUACGGUAGAGAAAUGUAAGCCGCUUCACAAGUCUCU